AUACGUAGGUGGCAAGCGUUAUCCGGAAUUAUUGGGCGUAAAGAGGGAGCAGGCGGCAGCAAGGGUCUGUGGUGAAAGCCUGAAGCUUAACUUCAGUAAGCCAUAGAAACCAGGCAGCUAGAGUGCAGGAGAGGAUCGUGGAAUUCCAUGUGGAGCGGUGAAAAGCGUAGAUAUAUGGAGGAACACCAGUGGCGAAGGCGACGCUCUGGCCUGCAACUGACGCUCAGUCCCGAAAGCGUGGGGAGCAAAUAGGAUUAGAUGCCCUAGUAGUCCACGCCGUAAACGAUGAGUACUAAGUGUUGGAUGUCAAAGUUCAGUGCUGCAGUUAACGCAAUAAGUACUCCGCCUGAGUAGUACGUUCGCAAGAAUGAAACUCAAAUGAAUUGACGGGG
rnacentral:rRNA from 1 species